rnacentral:rRNA from 1 species
ACGCUCGACACCUACGGGGGCAGCAGUGGGGAAUAUUGCACAAUGGAGGAAACUCUGAUGCAGCGAUGCCGCGUGAGGGAAGAAGGUUUUCGGAUUGUAAACCUCUGUCUUUGGGGACGAUAAUGACGGUACCCAAGGAGGAAGCUCCGGCUAACUACGUGCCACAGCCGCGGUAAUCUGAGCGGGCUGGCAAGGC